rnacentral:rRNA from 1 species
GAUGAACGCUAGCGGCAGGCCUAACACAUGCAAGGUCACGGGGUAGAGGCUUUCGGGCCUUGAGACCGGCGCACGGGUGCGUAACGCGUAUGCAAUCUGCCUGUACAGGGGGAUAGCCCGGAGAAAUCCGGAUUAAUACCCCAUAGUAUAUUAGAACAGCAUUGUUUUAAUAUUAAAGAUUUAUCGGUACAAGAUGAGCAUGCGUCCCAUUAGCUAGUUGGUAUGGUAACGGCAUACCAAGGCAAUGAUGGGUAGGGGUCCUGAGAGGGAGAUCCCCCACACUGGUACUGAGACACGGACCAGACUCCUACGGGAGGCAGCAGUGAGGAAUAUUGGUCAAUGGGCGAGAGCCUGAACCAGCCAUGCCGCGUGCAGGAUGACGGUCCUAUGGAUUGUAAACUGCUUUUGUACGGGAAGAAACCACUCUUCGUGAAGAGUAUUGACGGUACCGUAAGAAUAAGGAUCGGCUAACUCCGUG